rnacentral:rRNA from 1 species
AACGAACGCUGGCGGCGUGCCUAACACAUGCAAGUCGAGCGAGAAAACCCGCAAGGGUGAGUACAGCGGCGCACGGGUGCGUAACACGUGGGUAAUCUGCCCUGAAGCCCGGAAUAACCUCCCGAAAGGGAUGCUAAUACCGGAUAAGACCACGGGAACCUCGGUUCCUGCGGGAAAAGGUGGUCUCUGCAUGCAAGCUAUCAUUUCAGGACGAGCCCGCGGCCCAUCAGCUCGUUGGCGGGGUAACGGCCCACCAAGGCUACGACGGGUAGCUGGUCUGAGAGGACGAUCAGCCACACUGGAACUGAGACACGGUCCAGACUCCUACGGGAGGCAGCAGUGGGGAAUCUUGCGCAAUGGGCGAAAGCCUGACGCAGCAACGCCGCGUGUGUGAUGAAGGUCUUCGGAUCGUAAAGCACUGUCGGGAGGGACGAAUAAGGGCCAGGUGAACAAUCUGGUCCGAUGACGGUACCUCCAAAGGAAGCACCGGCUAACUCUGUGCCAGCAGCCGCCGUAAUAC